rnacentral:pre_miRNA from 1 species
AGCUUUUUGGAUCAGUGCAGAGAUUUCGUCGGACACCAACGUAUUAGGGCUGACUAGACUUUCAAGGUAAGUGUAGUU